GGGGUUGACUUGGCUAUUUGCUCUUAGAUAUAUAAUAUAAUCUGAGAUACGAGGGUUCGAAUCCCUCCAACUCCA
rnacentral:tRNA from 1 species